rnacentral:tRNA from 1 species
GCCCCCAUAGCUCAGUUGGUAGAGCGCGGCACUAGUAUGAUCCACGAUCUAUCAUAUGCCGAGGUCUACGGUUCAACUCCGUAUGUGGGCA